CUGGAGGUAUCAGAAGUGCGAAUGCUGACAUAAGUAACGAUAAAGCGGGUGAAAAGCCCGCUCGCCGGAAGACCAAGGGUUCCUGUCCAACGUUAAUCGGGGCAGGGUGAGUCGACCCCUAAGGCGAGGCCGAAAGGCGUAGUCGAUGGGAAACGGGUUAAUAUUCCCGUACUUGGUGUUACUGCGAAGGGGGGACGGAGAAGGCUAUGUUGGCCGGGCGACGGUUGUCCCGGUUUAAGCGUGUAGGUGUGUGUUCCAGGUAAAUCCGGUUCACUUUAACACUGAGGCGUGACGACGAGGCACUACGGUGCUGAAGCAACAAAUGCCCUGCUUCCAGGAAAAGCCUCUAAGCAUCAGGUAACAUCAAAUCGUACCCCAAACCGACACAGGUGGUCAGGUAGAGAAUACCAAGGCGCUUGAGAGAACUCGGGUGAAGGAACUAGGCAAAAUGGUGCCGUAACUUCGGGAGAAGGCACGCUGACACGUAGGUGAAGUGAUUUACUCAUGGAGCUGAAGUCAGUCGAAGAUACCAGCUGGCUGCAACUGUUUAUUAAAAACACAGCACUGUGCAAACACGAAAGUGGACGUAUACGGUGUGACGCCUGCCCGGUGCCGGAAGGUUAAUUGAUGGGGUCAGCGCAAGCGAAGCUCCUGAUCGAAGCCCCGGUAAACGGCGGCCGUAACUAUAACGGUCCUAAGGUAGCGAAAUUCCUUGUCGGGUAAGUUCCGACCUGCACGAAUGGCGUAAUGAUGGCCAGGCUGUCUCCACCCGAGACUCAGUGAAAUUGAACUCGCUGUGAAGAUGCAGUGUACCCGCGGCAAGACGGAAAGACCCCGUGAACCUUUACUAUAGCUUGACACUGAACAUUGAGCCUUGAUGUGUAGGAUAGGUGGGAGGCUUUGAAGUGUGGACGCCAGUCUGCAUGGAGCCGACCUUGAAAUACCACCCUUUAAUGUUUGAUGUUCUAACGUGGACCCGUUA
rnacentral:rRNA from 3 species